UUCAGCAUAAUAUAACUAUCUCUAUCGCUUUCAUUUAGGUCGGUCCCGCGGGCAGCCAGUUUGGCAUCCUGGCGUGUCUCUUUGUGGAGCUCUUUCAGAGCUGGCAGAUCCUUGAGCGACCAUGGCGGGCGUUUGGAAAGCUCUUUGGCAUCUCCGUAUUCUUCUUCUCCUUCGGUUUGCUGCCUUGGAUCGAUAAUUUUGCCCACGUCUGCGGUUUUGUCUCGGGAUUCUUCUUAUCCUUUGCCUUCUUGCCAUACAUCAGUUUUGGGCGCUCAGACAUGUACCGCAAGAGGGUCCAGAUCUGUGUAUUCCUGCUGGUUUUCGUAGCUCUGCUCUCCUCCCUGGCCGUCCUUUUCUACGUUUACCCCGUGAAGUGCGACUGGUGCGAGUACCUCACUUGCAUCCCCAUCACGGACAAGUUCUGUGAGAAGUAUGACCUGAACGCAAACCUCCUUUGACUCACGUCGGCUGCUUCGGUUGCACCGCGGGUUCGUGGGGACACGGGUUGUGCCUCGGCGUUUGAAAUGAAGAGAUUCAAGUGCAAAAUUUUUGCGAGACAUUUUUGCAAGGUGCUGCCACCCUGUCUCACAUGAAAAAAACUAAAUUCAACCCAAAGGCUUUGAAGCACUUUGUUAUUAUGAUAUAAUUAACGUAACUGUUUUGACCGAUGACUCAAAUGUUUUUUUUUAGUUGUACUCAGUGCUUGUAAUGCGCAGUUUGAAUCAUGAUGAUCCAAAAAAGCACGCAAUUGCACAAGUAUUGAAGAAGACAUAUAUGAACAUUGUAAAUGAUGACUUUUUGCACAGAUUUUUCAAUUAAAAAAAGUAUAUUUCAGUAUACA